rnacentral:siRNA from 1 species
UGCAAUGGCUCCCAUCGAUCCAA